UACGUAGGGUCCGAGCGUUGUCCGGAUUGACUGGGCGUAAAGCGCACGCAGGCGGCCCGGCGCGUGGGGUGUGAAAGCUGGCGGCUUAACUGCCAGACGCCAUCCCAUACGGCUGGGCUCGAGCCCUGCAGAGGUCCAUGGAAUUGCCGGUGUAGUGGUGAAAUGCGUAGAGAUCGGCAGGAACACCCAGGGGGAAACCAGUGGACUGGGCAGGAGCUGACGCUCAGGUGCGAAAGCGUGGGGAGCGAACCGG
rnacentral:rRNA from 1 species